rnacentral:lncRNA from 1 species
GAGAAUCUAUCAUUUAGGCAUUGUAGCCAUGAAAAAAAUUUAAUUUACUCAUAAUGAUCCUUGGUUUCAACUAAAAAGUUCAAUAAACAUUGCCCAUAACUUCCAGUCGGGUUGAUUUCUUGUAUUAAAGCUUCCAAUCUUUCAACCAUGUCCCUUGCUUUCCUUAUUGCUUUGCCAAUUUGACUAGUCAGAUGCUCUAUGAAUUGUUGCCUUCCCAAACUCUCUGCCUUCCAUUUCAUACAAGCAUCCAUCUCCAAUCUGCUUCUCUAUUUUGCCAUUCUUUGAUGAUUAUGGAAAUAUGAUCUUUGUGGUUUUGCAAUUGAUGUUCCAUCUCUUGAAUUACUUGAAAUAGUGAUUCUUUCUUUUUUUUUGCAUUUCAUGGUGUUUUCUUUUUUCAUCUUUGAUCUGAGCCUUCAAUGUAACAUUAUCCUUUUGAUAUUCCAUCAAUUUUGCUGAAGUUGUUGAAUACAAACCUUCCAAUUCUUGUUAUUUUCGAGAAAUCUUGAUGGUUUUUUUCUCAUUUUCCCUAGCUUUGUCCUUCUAAUGUUGUAUCUCUUCUUGAAGCUCAAUCAUUUCCCUUUGCUGCUUGACACCAAAUCUAGCACUUUUUCCCUCUUUUAAUUGGAUUUGCAUUUUCUUGUUUUUUUUUUUAUACAAAUCCUUUAGAUAAUUUUGGGCCAUAUCCUGAUCUUCCAUCACCUUUUUUAGUUUGCUUUCUCAUGCUUCUGUUUCAUAUUUCAAUUGUCUAAUCUUUCUUGGAGUCUCAAAUUUUCUUUUCUCAAUUUCUCUUUUUCUAUUUCAAGUUCUUGCUUAACAAGUUCAGCUUCUGACAAUGGUUUUUUUGCCCAUAGGUCUACUUGGUGGAAUGAAAAGUCAUUUGGAGGGAGCGCAAUAUCUCUAGAAUAUUUUGCUUUCCAAAUCAAGUAAUCAGGGGUGACUUUGUCGAUAAUGGGUUCUAGUCUUAGCCUCUAUGUUUUCUUCUAUACCUGAACUGACUGUUCUGUUAUUUUUUAUGAGUUCGUUUCUCUAUAGGCAAAUUCUACUAAAAUGAGUCCAUGUGUGGCAGGGACAAAUUACUUCGCACCAAAUUGACUUAGCACCAUUAGUGGAGAGUAAUUUACCACUCCCCACAAUCCUAAAAGCAAUACCACGGAUCAUCUCCACCCUGAUAUAACAUUGGCACAUAAAGCAUCCAAAGUGCCAUCCAUUUAACUUGAUCACUAGUAAGCCUUCAAAAGAAUGCUACCCACUCUUCUUUGGAUUUAAAUGUUGGCCAUUGCCUUUCGUAAAAUUCUUUGAUUGGGGCUUUAUUUCGAAGAUAAGGCUUGGAAAAAGCAUUUUUCUUGCAUCUAAAAUGGCUUUUGAUCUAGACAAAUAGUAAUUAUGCACUCUCUAUGAAACAUUCUCCAUUCCUACAACAAAAGUUCAAUGAUCUAAUUGUCUCAACUAGGAUGGCUGGAAUGGGAUUAAUUGCUUGACUCUUGAUUUGUUAAAAAAGAUCAACUACUACCAAUUCAAUAUAUCCCAAAGUUUUUGGAAAGAUCACCAUACCAUAAAUUGCUAGAGCAAACAUUGCCAUGCCUUGGUCAUCUUUUAAGUGCCCCAAAAUGAAAUCAUGAAAGAAAUGCCAAAGUAAGAGGGCACAUUUACCUUUGUCUUUAGUCAAAGCAUUUAUGGCCUCUACAUUCAUCUCCAUUAAUUUAACUAUUUUUUUAGAUAAGUUUGAAUUCUCAAGUGCAUAGUAUACUAAAAAAGAAAAAAAGAGAACAAAAAGAAAAACAAAAAAUGAAUGUGACUUUAGGGUGAAAACCUUAAAAAAGGUAAUUUAGAGCAAAUCUUGAAGGUCACUCCUAAUACUAAAUGAGGUGGAUAGUAAACAAAGAUAAGCCAUACCUUAUGAAAAAUCUAAGAUAUCAAAAGUUUCGAAAGUUUGAAAAGGGUUGAUUUCGAAAAUCUCAACGUUUUUUCAUUCCCAAAUAACCUUUAAAAAAUUCAAAGCCUUUACAGCUAACUUUGACAUAUAUCAAAAUGUGACAUUUGAAGGUUUAAGAAAGUGUUCAACAACUUUGCUUUUUAAGGGAUUCAUGUUUUUUAAAAAAUUUAUAUUUCAUCUAUGAGCCUACAUAGAAAAAGUAUAUGCCUCUUUUAUCACCUUUAAAUGGAGAAACCCCUGAGUGUGCUAAACCAUACAAUCCAUUUAGAAAAAAAAAAUUUCACCUUUUUCAUUUCUAAUAAGGAUCACAAAUUCUCGAGAAAAGAUUUAAACUGAAUUUAGUUGGCGCCUAGGUUUUAAGCAUCAAUGAAGAUUUAAGCCCAGUUUAGCUAUCACCCAAGUUUUAAGAUCAAAUUAUUUGGCACCCAAAUUUAAGCCUAGUUUAGUUGACACAUAGGUUUUAAACCUAGAUUAGCUGGCAUAAUGGUUUAAGGUUUAAGUUUUGGUUUAGGGUUUAGGAGUUCGCUUAUCGUUUAAGGUUUAGGGUUUAAUUUUGGGUUUAAAGUUUGGUUUAAGAUUUAAGGUUUAGUUUACAAAUUUAGUUUGGUUUAGGGUUUAAGGUUUAAGGUUUUGACUUGCAUGGUGGUUUAGGGUUUAGGGUUUUCAUGGUGGUUUAGGAUUUGGGGUUUAGCAUUUGCAUGGUGGUUUAGGGUUUGCAUGAUGGUUUAAGGUUUAGGGUUUUCAUAGUGAUUUGGGAUUUAGGUUCUUUGCUUGGUUUUAAGGCGUAGAGUUUAGGGUUUUAAAGUUCUCUCCUUUCAUUUCACUACUUGCUGUCUCAUUUCCCCUUUUUUCUAGCCCUAAAUGAUGAAUAUAAAACUCGUGCAAAUGCUUUUUAGCCUUUGAUCAUUUUUCCAUUUAUGGGCUCCUAUCUUCCCUGUAAGUUUAUUUUGCAAUCAACCUCCUUUCACCAUUGAAUCUAGCCUCUUGAAAGAUUAGUGGUCCACAAUGAAUAUAGAACACAAAUUAGCUUAUAGUGUAGCUAUAACAAUAUGAAAAGACCAUUUUACCUCUAGUAAAAGUUUGACCUUUUUGAGUGAUUUUCUUGGAAACCUAUGAUCCUUUCUUUGUUUUUGUGAUUUUAAUGCAUCAAAAAUCAUAAAAUAAUAUGAAAUCAUGAUCUAAAAGUUUUCAUUAAAAGCCAACCUUAAAAGGUCAAAUUACGAUAAUACUCCUAAAUGACAUUUUGGUAAUUUCACGCCUUCUGAGAUGUAAUCAAGAUUUUUAACGUAUAAAAAAAAUCAUAAAUUGAUAUUUAAACAUGAUCUGAAAGUUUUCACAAAAAAUUAACUUUAAAAAAAUCAAAUUACAAAAAUACCUUUAAAAGGUAUUUUCAUAAUUUUACCCUUCUUGAAGUGUAAUCAAGGUUUUUAGUGUAUUAAAAUCAUAGAUUUCAACCCCAAGGCUUAUUAUCCCAUUUGGUUGUGAAUUUGACAAAGUAACCCAAGUUUGACCCAAUUUGACUAAUUUUGGUCAAAUUUGAUUUUGUUUGACUAUGAGACAUUUGGAUCAGAUUGACUUAAAAUUCAAUUUUGAAAACUUGUCCACAUUAAACAAAGGUUGGAUUUGAAUUGCAUUGAACUUUAAAGGCCUCACAACUAGCUAGAAUUUACUUAGACAAAAUUAGGUAUUUACAGUUUGUAAGGUUGGCACAUGGAUUGCUUCAUAAUCUCAAAAGAUCUAACACUAUAAGCUUCAAAACAGUGUUGUUUCAUUCAUUACAUAAAUUCCUCUUUUCUACUUUUUUAUUUUUAGCUUUCAAUUUUGCUUUCCAUUUACCUUCUCUCUCUAAACUUUUUUAAAUUUUUAGAACUCAUCAAUUCCUAGAUUCUUGCCAAUAAUCGCUAUAGCCAUUCCUCAUCAUCAAUCAUCACUCGUCAGUAUCAGAGUAACUCCAAACUUCACCCAAAAUCCUAUUUUAAUCUCUUUUAUCUUAUUCAAACCUUAAAUUUUCCUAAAACUUUUCAUAAAACCCUAGGGAUUGACACUUAAAUGGUGAUUGCACCUCAUAAAAUACCCUUUUCAGUCACCAUAAAACCCAAGCCAAGCCUAGAAAUUUCUUUUUCUAUCCAUUGCUCACCAUUUCACGAUCCAAACACCUAAAAAACUAAGAAAUGCUUUAAGAACAAAUCCUUUUCUUAGCCACCACUACCAUUUAUUUCCUCUUCUAUUUCCAUUGUCUAUACAAUGCUUAAAAUAACUUUGAACCUUUCCUCUCAACUUCCUCUUGAUUCCAAUCUUAAUCACUAAAAAAAAUCUCAAGAAAACACUUUACUCAAAACCUUGAUAGCCUUUUUCUUAUUUUUUGUUCUUUCCCUAUUUUGCUAUCAAAUCUUUUUGAGUUUUUAUGCUAGUGAUUUUUUUUUUUGGUUGUUCAUCUUUAUUUUCGUGGUGCAAAGAGUACGAAGGCUAUAAGUGAUCUUGCCAGAUGAGAGUAAUUCAAAAGGGAACUUGGGCAUAGGUAAUUUAGUUUAAUGUUGUAGCAAUUGGUAGUUGUAUCAAAAUGUUGAUCUUUUAGAUUGUGUUGAUUUGGAUUUGUUGUUUAUCUCUAUUAUUUAUGAGUUUAUAAAACUUAAAAAAUGCUAUAAGACUGAAUCCAUUGUUUAGCCACUUGAUUGGUACUUUUUAAACCUGUUAGUGAAUAGAUCAUUAUCAAGUAAUAAAAUGAUGAACAACAAGUAUUGUCCAACAAGG